GAGUACAAGUAACUUUAUUCAGUCAGUCAAAAGGUUGAUGCCGCUCAUGUUCCUCAUGUUGUUUUUUCCAUGCUGCAGGUUUCUUUCGGAAACGAUUUUCCUUCAUGGGCAGGAACUUGUCAUCGUCGGUAAUCUUUCGGAAGAC